rnacentral:rRNA from 1 species
UACGGAGGGUGCAAGCGUUGUUCGGAAUUAUUGGGCGUAAAGCGCGUGUAGGCGGUCGGGCAAGUCAGAUGUGAAAGCCUCCCGCUCAACGGGAGAAGUGCAUUUGAAACUGCUCGGCUAGAGUACGGGAGAGGAGAGUGGAAUUCCCGGUGUAGAGGUGAAAUUCGUAGAUAUUGGGAGGAACACCAGUGGCGAAGGCGGCUCUCUGGUCCGAUACUGACGCUGAGACGCGAAAGCGUGGGGAG